UAAUAGGCAUUACUGGCUUAUGGUGUGGCUA
rnacentral:piRNA from 1 species